rnacentral:rRNA from 2 species
GGGGAAUAUUGGGCAAUGGACGCAAGUCUGACCCAGCAACGCCGCGUGAAGGAAGAAGGCUUUCGGGUUGUAAACUUCUUUUAAGGGGGAAGAGUAGAAGACGGUACCCCUUGAAUAAGCCACGGCUAACUACGUGCCAGCAGCCGCGGUAAUACGUAGGUGGCAAGCGUUGUCCGGAUUUACUGGGCGUAAAGGGAGCGUAGGCGGAUACUUAAGUGGGAUGUGAAAUACCUGGGCUUAACUUGGGUGCUGCAUUCCAAACUGGGUGUCUAGAGUGUUGGAGAGGAAAGUGGAAUUCCUAGUGUAGCGGUGAAAUGCGUAGAGAUUAGGAAGAACACCAGUGGCGAAGGCGACUUUCUGGACAAUAACUGACGCUGAGGCUCGAAAGCGUGGGGAGCAAACA